UCUGCUGUUUCCCACCAACUCUCACCCCACCCCUCCCCCAUAAAGCUUUCUGAAUGCCCAGGACUUCCAAAAGCCAAUCGCAGAAGCCACAGAGGAGGAAGGGACACUAGUGGGCCGGCCACCUUCCCAUCCAACGAGGAGAAAAGUACUUUUAAAGUGGUGAGAACGCCCACCUUAGUUCUCCACCAAUCCCCUCUUGCUCUUCUAACUUCGCCGCGCGGUCGGCCCCAGCGUUCAACUCCAACCUUCUCCAGCUCAGAGCCGGGGUGGGGGCCGGCGGCAGACACCGGGGACCCGCUCCUUGCCGGGUCGGGCAGAAACUCGAAAGGAGGAGGAGAGGGGCGAAGCGGCCCAGGAAGGUGGCGACGCCGCGACGCGGGAAGAAGGGCCCCAGGGCCCGGAGGUCCUGGAGCUGUGCACGCUGGGGGCGGGCCCGAGAACCCUGCGGCCGGCGCGCCCCCGCCCGCCUGCCCCGCCCCGCCUCGCCUCGCGGAGGCCACCGCCCGCCCGCCCGCCGCUUCGCCGGCCGCGGCGCACGCGUGUGCGGGCGGGGCAGCGCGGAGCAUCCCCGGUGCCUGCCCUGGCCGCCUAACGCCCGUGCCCGCUCCCCCGGCCCGGACGGCCCGGCACCAUGCGGAGGGUGAGUGCGCCGUCGCCCCCCGGGGCGCGAGGGGCAGGUGGCGAGGUGCUGGCGAGCGGGAGAGCCCGUCCCUCCGCCCCGCUCCAGGCGGCCGCCGCUGGCGGAGAGCCUCGCGGGGCAGCCGGGCGGGAAGGGCGCAGGGCGAGGCGGGCUCUUGCGGGGCCGCGGCCGUAGCCUGGGCGCGGGGAGGGCGCCCCUCGGACGAUGGCGGGCGAGGGGCCUUGGGGGUCUCUCCCCGCAGAGGGCACUGGCCCCGCGCGCCCUGCGGCGGCACCGACACGUCGGGGCUCUCCCUGCGCCUCCCGGGGCCGGGGGAGGGGGUCUUCCCAGCGUCCCCGUCUCCGGCUUGGGGAGCCCCUCCGCGGCGCCCUGCACGCCCGCUUGGCUCGUUCCCCGCUGCGUUCGGCUGCCGCGCGCCGCGCUCCUUCCUGGAGCCUGAUCCUUGGCCGCCGGGCGUCGGUUGGGCUCCCUCGGCGCGCACCCUAGGGAGGGCGUGCCCCAGGCCCAGGCUAUAA
rnacentral:lncRNA from 1 species